AGUGAACGCUGGCGGCGUGCUUAACACAUGCAAGUCGAACGAGAACGGAUUAUAGCUUGCUAUAAUUGUCAGCUAAGUGGCGCACGGGUGAGUAAUGUAUAGGUAAUAUGCCUCUUACUAAGGGAUAACAAAUGGAAACGUUUGCUAAUACCUUAUACUCCUUAUUAACAUAAGUUAAUAAGGGAAAGAUUUAUUGGUAAGGGACUAGCCUGUAUUGUAUCAGUUAGUUGGUGGGGUAAUGGCUUACCAAGACUAUGACACAUAACUGGUUUGAGAGGAUGAUCAGUCACACUGGAACUGAGACACGGUCCAGACUCCUACGGGAGGCAGCAGUGGGGAAUAUUGCACAAUGGACGAAAGUCUGAUGCAGCAACGCCGCGUGGAGGAUGACACAUUUCGGUGCGUAAACUCCUUUUAUAUGAGAAGAUAAUGACGGUAUUAUAUGAAUAAGCACCGGCUAACUCCGUGCCAGCCGCCGCCGUAA
rnacentral:rRNA from 1 species